rnacentral:rRNA from 1 species
CCUACGGGAGGCAGCAGUGGGGAAUUUUCCGCAAUGGGCGAAAGCCUGACGGAGCAACGCCGCGUGAGGGAUGAAGGCCUCUGGGCUGUAAACCUCUUUUAUCAAGGAAGAAGAUCUGACGGUACUUGAUGAAUAAGCCACGGCUAAUUCCGUGCCAGCAGCCGCGGUAAUACGGGAGUGGCAAGCGUUAUCCGGAAUUAUUGGGCGUAAAGCGUCCGCAGGCGGUCUUGUAAGUCUGUCGUUAAAGCGUGGAGCUUAACUCCAUUUCGGCGGUGGAAACUACAAGACUAGAGUGUGGUAGGGGCAGAGGGAAUUCCCGGUGUAGCGGUGAAAUGCGUAGAUACCGGGAAGAACACCAGUGGCGAAGGCGCUCUGCUGGGUCAUAACUGACGCUCAUGGACGAAAGCUAGGGGAGCGAAAGGGAUUAGAUACCCCUGUAGUCCUAGCCGUAAACGAUGAACACUAGGUGUCGGGGGAAUCGACCCCCUCGGUGUCGUAGCUAACGCGUUAAGUGUUCCGCCUGGGGAGUACGCACGCAAGUGUGAACUUAAAUGAAUUGACGGCUGAACUGCCAAGGCGACACGAGGAGAG